rnacentral:rRNA from 1 species
UACGUAGGUGGCGAGCGUUAUCCGGAAUGAUUGGGCGUAAAGGGUGCGUAGGCGGCCUGCUAAGUCUGGAGUGAAAGGUACCGGCUCAACCGGUACAGGCUCUGGAAACUGGCGGGCUAGAGAGCAGGAGAGGGCGGUGGAACUCCAUGUGUAGCGGUAAAAUGCGUAGAUAUAUGGAAGAACACCAGUGGCGAAGGCGGCCGCCUGGCCUGUUACUGACGCUGAGGCACGAAAGCGUGGGGAGCAAAUAGG